rnacentral:rRNA from 1 species
AAAAACAUGUCCUUUUGUUUUAUAUAUAAGGUCUAACCUGCCCAAUGAUUUAUUUAAUGGCCGCGGUAUAUUAACUGUGCUAAGGUAGCAUAAUCAUUUGUCUUUUAAUUAAAGGCUAGAAUGAAUGGUUGGACGAAGUAUAAGCUUUCUUUAAUUUAAUUAAUGAAUUUAAUUUUUUAGUUAAAAAGCUAAAAUUUAUUUGAGGGACGAGAAGACCCUAUAGAUCUUUAUAUUUAAAUUUAUUAUUUAUUUUGGUAAUUAAUUUUUUUAAUAAUUUUAUUUAUUUGAUUGGGGUGAUUGUAGAAUAAUUAUAACUUCUAUUUUAUUUACUCAUUAAUUAUUGUUUAUUUUGAUCCAAAUUUUUUGAUUAAAAGAUUAAGUUACCUUAGGGAUAACAGCGUAAUUUUUUUGGAGAGUUCAUAUCGAUAAAGAAGUUUGCGACCUCGAUGUUGGAUUAAAAUAAGUUUUCGGUGCAGUAGCCAUAAAACUAGGUCUGUUCGACCUUUAAUUUUUUACAUGAUCUGAGU